CUUAAGCUGCUGUGCCGCGCCUCGGCCGCAUGCGCCCUCGCGACGCCCAGCUACUCGCCCUCGGCAGCUCCUCCUGAUCUGUUCUACAUAUAAAACGCAACGCCACAGCCUUCCCUUCCUCUUCCGCCCCACAUCCGCCGCCGUGCCGUCGUCGCCGUCGUUCUUACAGAUCGCUAGGAGCAGCGCCGCCGAACCCCGCCGUCGUUCUGCAUGCAGGACCGAACCGCAACACAACCGAGCAGCCGACCAUCCUCGCCGCCCUAAGUUCGAAUCGUGCCGUCGCUGCCCUCCGGAACACCCAAAGUACUCAGAAGGUUUUUUGGACACCACAAGAUGACAAAAAAAUUUGUGAAGCCUGUGUGGAUAUGAUACAAAAGAAGCAACUGAUGCAAAGGCAGGGAGCACUGGCAGACGAACGGCUAAACAAGUUACUACAUAUUUUCGUCGGGACGAUGACAAAAGAGAGCCUUGGUCGCAGAUGCCACGCAUUAAAGGACUUAUAAGAUAAACAUUGUGAGCAUGUGGACUCAGAAAAACUGAGUGUACUUGAACGGGAAACAAGGGUACUCUCUUGCACAUGUGUGUUUGAUUAAA